rnacentral:rRNA from 1 species
ACGAACGCUGGCGGCGUGCCUAAUACCUGCAAGUAGCACGCUGAAGAGAGGAGCUUGCUCUUCUUGGAUGAGUUGCGAACGGGUGAGUAACGCGUAGGUAACCUGCCUUGUAGCGGGGGAUAACUAUUGGAAACGAUAGCUAAUACCGCAUAACAAUGGAUGACACAUGUCAUUUAUUUGAAAGGGGUAAUUGCUCCACUACAAGAUGGACCUGCGUUGUAUUAGCUAGUAGGUGAGGUAAUGGCUCACCUAGGCGACGAUACAUAGCCGACCUGAGAGGGUGAUCGGCCACACUGGGACUGAGACACGGCCCAGACUCCUACGGGAGGCAGCAGUAGGGAAUCUUCGGCAAUGGGGGCAACCCUGACCGAGCAACGCCGCGUGAGUGAAGAAGGUUUUCGGAUCGUAAAGCUCUGUUGUAAGUCAAGAACGGGUGUGAGAGUGGAAAGUUCACACUGUGACGGUAGCUGACCAGAAAGGGACGGCUAACUACGUG